rnacentral:lncRNA from 1 species
GCUGUGGCUCUGGCCUGGGGCCUGCUCCUGCAGCUCUCCAUGGGCUGCAGCCUCCACCAGGCCCCUUCCACCUCCUGCACCGGGGGCUUCACCAUGGGCUGUAGUGUGGAGAUCUGCUCCACCUGUACUCCUGCUCCAUCCACUAACCGCCCCAGUCCCCUAACGUCCUGUUUGAUAGCCUUCAGGCUUCUCUCUUCAAUGUCAUCACUGCCAGCCUGCACUAUCAAAGGGGAUAGUAGUCAGAGGGGUAAACGAGGUUGGGAAGUUUUCUGGCAAUUUCCUUGACCCUGGCCCCAGGGAGGAAGCAGACUUCCCUACAGCUAGGGUCAGGCUGACAAUUAGGGCCCUUUGUUCCCCUGAGAAGGGAGUCGCCUACAACAAUCUCCCUUCUUUCUGUCCUAGUGGAGGAAGUCCUGAGGCAUGGAGUUGACUUCCUCACCCUAGGCAUCCUCCUGGCUACACUUUCUACCUCUUCCUCAGCUACCGGUCCCUCAAGCUCCAGAGCUCCAAACCUGUUGUGUAAGGGCACCUGGGAAGGUGGGGCUGGCAGGGGGUGUCAUCGCCUGCGAUAUCAAGCAGGGACCUGUCUUCAUUCUUCCUCAACUCCUAGGUCCCCUCCCUCUGCCCGACAGCGACAGGGGAGGGGGUCCACCCCAUUUGUGGUGUCUCACCCCGGUACCUCUCCUUCAGGCCCCGCAGGGAAUUGCCCCACCACUCUAUCUCUCACUCACACUCCCUGAUAGCCCUCAACCUCUCCACCUCCUCCUUGAGUUCUGCCACCAGGUGGAUCAGGUCAUCCACCUGCUCACACCUCACGCACACACAGUCUCUCUGCCUCCCGCAGAUGGCAGCAAGAGGCUCACGCCCGUGUGCCCGUGCGCCUCAGCUGCCACAUCUGGGGCUUCUACCCCCCCGAGGUGACCGUCAUCUGGCUGCACAACGGGGACAUCCUGCAGCCCGAUGACUACAACCCCAUCUCCGCCAUCCCCAACGGUGACUGGACCUACCAGACACAGGUGUCCCUGCUGGUGGCCCCGGUGGCAGGCGACACCUACACGUGCUCGGUGCAGCACGUCAGCCUGCAGGAGCCUCUCCUGGAGGACUGGAGUGAGUGGAGAGGCUCAGGACCGCACCCGGAGGCCGGCGGCCUUGGCUCCUUGCUGCCACUCACCCGGCCGUGUCCCCGCAGGUCCCGGACUGAUGCUGGAGGUGACGAUACUGCUGGUGGUGGCCACGGUGCUGAUGGUGCUGGGACUUGGCUUCUUUCUCGCCGGUGUAUACCACUUCAGGGCCAGGCCUCCUGACCCGGGUGAGUGGCCGGGGAGAGCCGGGGCAAUGGUCAAGGGUGACGAGGACUCUGCUGACUACUCUUCUCCACCCCGCAGGUUACACUCCCCUCCCAGGAGACAACUACCCCGCAGGCAGCAUCUGAGGACCCCCAGACGGACACCUCCCAGAACCGGCGGCUCCAGGUUGGCCCCAUCUCAGACCCAAUGUCAUGGUGC